AUAUUAUAAGUCAAAGUUAAUGCUAAGGCAAAGAAAAGAUUAUUCAAAAGCAUGGACCAGAAAGCAGAUCAACUUGUAACUCACAGUUUCCCAUAUCUCAAGAACUUUAUCUCCUUCCAAUAUAAUAGUGCAAGCAACAUCAAACAGAGAGGUUUCUGAACCUUGACAAAUCUAGUAACAACUAAGAGAUAUUGACAUAUCUUGUGGGUAGCUAGCCUAGCUUCAUGGAUGAGUCUCACAGUCCCAAGUCAUCAGUGGAGGGUGAGUUUCAGUCAACCUUGCGUUCAGCUCCAUCAUUUGAAAUAUACAACAAAACCCAUGAAGGCCUUGGAGAUGAUGAUAACGACCCUGAACAAGUUUUGCAGAGAAGUGCUGUGAUUAGACAGAGUUUGGAAGCUGAUGAGUUCAGCUUUAGAAGGAAAAAGAUGGAUUUGAUUGAGGAAGGAGAGAAUGAGAGUGAUUUGUCAAUAGGGGUUCAGACUUUGAGGGUUGAGGAUGAAGAUGCUGCUGAACCUGCUAGUCCUCCCAUGUAUCUUGCUGCAGGGCUUGGGGUUGAUGGAACUGGGUCUGUUGGUGAGGUUUUUCCUGAUAAACCGACUAUUGAUGAUAUAUUUAGUCCCAACUUGGAAGAAAGUGAGGAUCUUGAAGAGUAUUAUAAGAGGAAGGUUGAUGAGUACCCCAAUCACCCUUUGAUCCUGAAAAAAUAUGCGCAACUUUUACAAUCUAAGGGAGAACUUCUAGGGGCCGAGGAGUACUUUCGCCGCGCUACCCUAGCAGAUCCGAACGAUGGUGAAACCUUGAUGCAGUAUGCCUUGCUGGUGUGGGAGCAUCAUCAUGACAGAGAUAAAGCUGUGAUCUAUUUCGAACGUGCGGCUCAAGCUGCACCUGAAGACAGCCAUGUUCUUGCAGCAUAUGCUCGAUUUCUCUGGGAAGCAGAAGAUGAUGAGAAUGAAGGUGGACAUGAUGAGACUCAGAAUGACAUGGAAGAACAAAAGACUGUACCUGUCAAAUCCUCCAUAGAAGAAAGUGAUCCAGUUCGCUCAUUUUCACUUGUCGCAGCUGGAAAAGAGAUUGAUGCAGCAAAUAUUACAGUAGCUGAUUGCAGUGAAGACAGUAAUGUUGUAGAUUAUUUGAAGAAGAUGAUUGAUGAAAAUCCUAACAAUCCUUUGUUUCUGAAGAAGUAUGCCCAGUUUCUGUUUCAGUCCAAGAGAGACCUUCAAGCGGCAGAGGAAUAUUACUCAAGAGCUAUCUCAGCUGAUCCUAGUGACGGUGAAAUGAUAACUGAAUAUGCUAAACUGAAGUGGGAACUCCAUCAUGAUCAGGAAGAGGUUUUGCGUUUAUUUGAGCAAGCACUUCAGGCCACUCCUAAGGAUAGUAAUGUUCUUGCAGCAUAUACCUGCUUUCUUUGGGAAAUAGAAGAUGGGGAAAGCUGAAGUUCAAGGCAGAGCCAAAAGAUCUUCUGCUGGAAAAUGCCAUGACUGUUGCAACUUUUCAACACAGGUUGCUAGGACAGGACACAUUAUUUGAUUAACACAUCAUUUUGGAUGGCUGUUAAGUGGUAACUUUCAUGCUGAUUGCUAUUUAGAACAAGAGAAAAAGGAUGAUGCGCCGACUGUGUAAAGUCUUUUUAUACCGUCAACCAAUUAGAUUUUCUCAUAUGAUUGAAAUCUGAUUGGUUGACCGUGUAAAAAGAUCUACACCAUCUAAUAAAAGACAUUACAUUGGUUGUACUUGUAUGUUAAUCUGUAGCAUCAAAAUGAUCUUAAAAACUAAUAGUUCCAUGCUAGACUGAUUUGAUGUCAUUAAAAUGUAAUGUUUACCAACAUGGAUCAAAUGGAAAGGGCUUAAAUCCCUUAAACAUUUGUGUGAAGUUGAAUCUUCAGAUUUAUGUGAGUGGAAAAAAUAUUAUUAUUAGUAAGAAA